CCUUUAUGUACAUCACCUAGUGUCAACCACUGCAAGAGAGAAGAUGACAGGAGGAGCUUUGUUACCAUGACAAAGAAACCCUGCGGCUUCUGAGAAGGAGGGAGCAUAGUGGAGCCACUGCAGUGACCAGGCAAGAAUGAGCACCAAGCUUGUUUCACGAGUUUUCUCUGGGCAAAUAGAAUUCUAAGUUUACCAGUGGAUAUUAAAACAAUGAAUUUUCUUCCCGAAUGGAGACAAGCGAAAUGGCUGCAGUUUUCCAGAGUCUAAUUACCAGGAGUAGUUAAAGUGGCCAAAACUUGAAGAGGAAGCGGAUCUGGACUGUUCUCCCUUUGGAUGGGCUGAGACCUGGGCAGGGAGCUGUCUUGGAGGCCACCUUCUCCCACAACCCUCACUGCAGGUCCUGGGUACGUCCAUGUGAGCUUGCACUCAGUGGCCUUGUGAGAACACGGGCUCAGGCAGCACCCAUGACCAAGGCUCUGCUCGGCCCACGGCCUCCUGGUGUGCACCUCGGUCCUCACCUGACUGAGCAAGCCCUUCUACCGACAGCAGCGACAACAAUAGUAACAACAAGUAAAAAUGAAUAUGCAAAUAUUUGUGGAACAUUUCCAGCCACUGGACAUGUUAUACACAGUCUCAUCAAAAACUCACAGCUGUGUCAAUAUCCAUCUUACUUCACUGUGGAGAAACGAAGGCUCAGAGAGGCAUGAGAGAUAACCAACUGGAGUGGCUGGUCCCUGGCUGGAUCUAAGGCAAGGGAAGCAGUAUUGCUCUGAUGAUGGCUGGUACCAUGGCCGCCCUGUUUUUCCCACGUGGAGGAAGCCACGCUGCAACACGCUGAGACAGGGCAGAGGGGUAAGAAAACCAAGUCUUGGAGAAGAGACUAUGACUUUCCCAAGCACAUGUGGAUGAGUAAUGGCAGGACCUUGACCGGGCCCCUGAUAACCCAUAUGGUACCUUCAUGGACUCAGUCCUGCCCAUGCACAGCUGAAGGCUGAACCCCUUUUGCUAGAUAUUUGGGGACAGAAGGCAACCAACUGUACCUCGUCCUGGGAUGCCCUGAAUAAGGAGUCUCAUGAAGACACACACUGAGAACCACUCCAAAACAGAUGAAGCCAGAAAUGCUAUCAUUUAAAGAAGACUGGAGAGACAUGACAAUGUAAUGCAACAAGUGACCACUGAUUGGAUCCAGGAAGUAUGGAAGUGUGCCACCCAUAUCUCCCCUCAAGACCUGCUGCUGCCCAGUGGGGAGAACGUGGCUGGCCGGCAGCCUCCAACUGUCGGCUCUUCAGGAUUUGCUUUAGGCAGAGAGCAGCCUGCUCCAGGUAACUGACCCAGGAGGAGCUAUCAAGUCCCGUCUGGCUCUGUGUCGUACAAUCUGCUGGGCAAUUCUUGCUCCCCAUUGGGCAAACUGAGGCUUUGUCAGGCUGGUUGGCAGUUCAGCUCCUUCCUCUGUCCAAUCCUCCUUCCUUUCACAUGCAUAUGUACUGAUCAACAUUUUGCACCCCAAACUCCACCUCUGUGUGAACUUCCAGAGAACCCAACGUUUGAAGCCAACUGAAAAGGCCAGUAUUGGGCAAUUGGGGAACUUUGAAUAUGGGCUAUAUUAAUGUUAAUGAUAUUGUACCAGUGUUAUAUUUUUUGAAUGUGGUGAUCGUGUGGUAUAGGUGACGUCCUGGUUAAUGUAUUUCUCUAUAUGGCUAUUGCUGUAUCUGUCUAUAUAGAUCUCUUUAUAUAGGGAUCUUUAUAUCUGCAUAUAGAUGUAUAGAUGCCUAUAUCUAGACAUGAAAAUAUAGAAAUCUAUGUACCUCUUGGGGACAGAGACAGGCAUACAGACAAAACAAAGGUACCAAUUCAUAAAUCCAGGUGAAUUAUUUAGAGAUGCUCAUUAUAUUAUUUUUCCCAUUUAUGGUAGGUUUGAAAAUUUUCAAAAUAAAUGUUGAGAGAAAAAUAUCUGUAUGUGUAUUGUGACCUCACACCUGUUUACACAUAGAAAAAUCUGGAAGAUUAUAUCCAACCCAAUCUUUGAGUGGCUGGAAAAGUAUUAUUAUUAUUAUUAUUAUUAUUAUUAUU